GACUCNUACGGGAGGCAGCAGUGGGGAAUAUUGGACAAUGGGGGAAACCCUGAUCCAGCGAUGCCGCGUGUGUGAAGAAGGCCUGCGGGUUGUAAAGCACUNUCAGUGGGGACGAUGGGCAGAACGGCGAAUACCCGUUUUGUUUGACUUAACCCAAAGAAGAAGCACCGGCUAAUUCCGUGCCAGCAGCCGCGGUAAUACGGAAGGUGCGAGCGUUAAUCGGAAUUACUGGGCGUAAAGCGCACGUAGGUGGUUUUAUAAGUCGGAUGUGAAAGCCCCGGGCUUAACCUGGGAAUUGCAUCUGAUACUGUCUGACUAGAGUAUGCUAGAGGGGAGUGGAAUUCCAGGUGUAGCGGUGAAAUGCGUAGAUAUCUGGAGGAACACCAAUGGCGAAGGCAACUUUCCUGGGGCAAUACUGAC
rnacentral:rRNA from 1 species